GCCGGGUGCGGUGGCGCGCGCCUGUAAUCCAAGCUACCGGGAGGCUGAGGCUGGCGGAUCGUUUGAGCUCAGGAGCUCUGAGCUGCAGCGGACUAUGUCGAUCGGGUGUCCGCACUAAGUUCGGUAUCGAUAUGGUGCUCCUGGGGGAGCCCGGGACCACCAGGUCGUCUAAGGAGGGGUGCACCGGCCCAGGUCGGAAACGGAGCAGGUCAAAGCCCCCGUGCCGCUCAGUAGUGGGAUCGCGCCUGUGAAUAGACGCUGUAGUGCAGCCUGAGUAAUACAGCGGGACUCAGUCUUU
ensembl:misc_RNA Metazoa_SRP Metazoan signal recognition particle RNA